rnacentral:rRNA from 1 species
CGGGGGGUAAGCGUUGUUCGGAUUACUGGCGUAAAGGGCUCGUAGGCGGCCAACUAAGUCAUACGUGAAAUCCCUCCAGCUUAACUGGGGAACUGCGUGUGAUACUGGAUGGCUUGGAUUUGGGAGAGGGAUGCGGAAUUCCAGGUGUAGCGGUGAAAUGCGUAGAUAUCUGGAGGAACACCGGCGGCGAAGGCGGCAUCCUGGACCAAUAUUGACGCUGAGGAGCGAAAGCUAGGGGAGCAAACGGGAUUAGAUACCCCGGUAGUCCUAGCCCUAAACGAUGAAUGCUUGGUGUAGCGGGUAUCGAUCCCUGCUGUGCCGAAGCUAACGCAUUAAGCAUUCCGCCUGGGGAGUACGGUCGCAAGGCUG